rnacentral:ribozyme from 1 species
UAAAACAGACAGAGAGACAACUGAAGGGGAAUACAUGAAAUGUGUGUGUGUGUGUGCACUUGUGGUGGGUGUAGGUGUUUUCUUCUUUCUUUCUUUCUUUCUUUCUUCUUUUUCGUUUUCG